rnacentral:lncRNA from 1 species
GAAGCAUUAUGCAAAUGAUCCUUGGCCGUCCUUUUAAUAUAAAUUACACUACGCUUCCCCGUUGCCCGGAUUUCUGAGUCAAAUAAUUUUGGCUGAUCAAAAAAUUGUUUUCGUCAUAGACCGACUUAGAAAGGUACAAAACGCAUAAUGACGCAGAAAGUUUUGGCUCUGGAGAAUUUUAAAGCAAACUUUAACAUAUAAACUUUCAUACAGUAUACGUAUGCAAAUGAUCCAUAGCCGUGUUUUCUUAUAGAUUCCACUACGCUUAGAAAUAAAGAAAAAAUUAUACGAGAGUUUUACCUGGGAAGGGUCCACAACUUUCGCUCAUGAUGGCCUCAAUCUUUAUAUUACUUUUCUCCAAUAUUCUCUGUUUUGUGUUCCACUAGCUGUAUAUGUAGAUUUUCUCGAUUUCACACAGAAGAAUUCUCUUCAGCGCUCUGCAUCCUUGUUCAUCCCUCGUCAUCCUUGGUUAAAUCGACUCAAAAUUGUCCAAAUACACAAAAAAUAUUUAAAAGUGGAUAUUCAGCUGUUAGAAGGUGCGAUUUAGAGCCAUUUUGGAAAAAUAAUGGCAAAAAGAAAUAAUGAACAAAUUAUACAAAAAGUUACGACAGUUUUAUCUGGGAACGGUCCACAACUUUCGAUGAUGAUGGCCUCAUUCUUUACCACUAUACCACGAUGGCAACGAUAUAGAACAGGGGUCGAAAUUUUUGUACUAUACAUCCGGAGUAGUAGAUUUUGAAAUUUACUAUUCCGUCCUAAGAUCCACUAUUCCUUAAUGUACAGUUUCAAAGAGCCUGUUUAUGCAGGGUCUGCGCUAAUGUUCUGAUUUUCGUGAAACCAUCCUUGAGACUGAAUAAUUGAAUAACCAAAAAUAAAGAUGCACAGUGCAUUGCUCUGUAGAGUGAUGAACAAAUUAUUAAUAAAAAACAAAGUUCAACAUUGAAAUGAACUUGCGAACUUUGUUGCCAAGUUCGCAAAGAACUUAGGAACCGCGCGUUGAAAAGUGACUUGAAAUCGACAAUAAUAUUGCUGCAAAGAAAUUUGAAUUCGCAAGUUUCUACUACGCUUAGCCGUUAUCCGUCUGAGAAAAUUUCGGGGAAAUCGACAAAUCUUUUUUUGUUAUAGAUCGACAGAGAAAGGUUCAAAACGCAUCUUGAUGCAGAACGUUUUGGCACAAGGGAAUUUUAAAGCGUAUUUUGAGAUGAUUUUCUGAGUACAAUGCGCAUGCAAAUGAGCAAUGCUAAGCCGUGCUAAGCCGUCUUUCAUUUCGGGCAAAAUGAAAAAAAAAUUUUUGUUAUAGAUCGACACAGAAAGGUUCAAAACGCAUAUUGAUGCAGACCGUUUUGGUACAAGAGAAUUUUAAACGGCAUUUUGAGAUGAUUUUGUGAGUACAAGGCGCAUGCAAAUGAGCAAUGCUAAGCCGUGCUAAGCCGUACUACCACUACGGCAUCACUCCAUCAGUGGACGACCUCAAAAUCUUCUGAAAUUAUACAAUAUAGAAUGAUUACCUUAAUCUCUUCGGGCCAGGUUCAAAAUAGCCAGAAUAAAUAAAGGGGAAAAAAUAUUGUUAGUCCACUACAAAACAUGAGUUCAACAACAGGUGGGAAAUUUGUCUGAGCAUGCGCGAGCAAAAUGAGUCACGCAAUUGAGUGGAAUCAAGGCUGCCACUCGUAGGGGGAUUCCCCUACAGUAGGGGAUUAUGACAUCUUGUAGGGAGUGGGGAAUACCUACGGGGAGAAAGGGUAAUCUGUAGGGGAGCGUAGGGGAUUUCUUCACGGUUUGAAUUGAAAAAAAAAUUGUGUGUCUGGUUAUGGUAUUAUGAAUUACAAAAUGGAACUAGCAAUAUUGAACUGCAGGAUAAUCAGGAUUUUUCAUGGAAACAACUAGAAAUUUAGAUUUGAAUUGAAUGUGGAAGCACUGGAAUAUGUGAUAUAAUAACUCCACGUCUCCGGUCUCCACGACAGUGCUUCCAUUUUCAAGGAAAUUUCCUUUUCUAAGGAAAUUCUAGUGUCGAAAAGGAAAAUCUAAGGAAGAGAAAAAAUCUAAGGAAAUCUAAGGAUUUUUUCCCAACAACUUAAAUAUUCAUCCAAGUGCAUUAGUGCAGAAGAAUGUUUCGCUAUUUCUUGAAUUUUUGAGUGAAUUUGAGUGAAUUUUUGAGUAAUAGUUUGUGGUUUGGUUUUGUUAAGGUUUGUGCAAUUUAAUAAAUAGAAUAUAUUAUCGUUAUAUUAAAAACCGGAAACAUCUGUAUCGUAGAUGAUAAUUCAGGAUUACAGGGGAAAUGCGAUAUUUGUAGGGGAACGUAGGGGAAUGUAGGGGAAAAUUACACAUUGACUUGUAGGGAAAAGUAGGGGAUUUUAGUACUAGCCUUAGGUGAAAAUAGGCUAUUGAGAGUGGCAGCUCUGAGUGGAAUACACGCAACGCGUGUUUACAAAAAGGCACAAUCGUGCAAAUAUUGCCAAAUGUUUGUACAAAAUAAAUGACUGUUUU